CUAGUACUCCCUCCGUUCCGAAUUACUUGUCACAAGUAUGGAUGUAUUUAGAUGUAUUUUAGUUCUAGAUACAUCCAUUUCUGCGACGAGUAAUUUGGAACGGAGGGAGUACAUG
rnacentral:pre_miRNA from 1 species